rnacentral:rRNA from 1 species
UACGAGUGCCCCAAGCGUUAUCCGGAAUUAUUGGGCGUAAAGGGUGUGUAGGCGGUCUAGUUAGUCUUCUGUCAAAUUCUUCGGCUUAACCGGGGGUCCGCAGGGGAAACGGCUAGACUCGAGGAUGCGAGAGGUGAAUGGAACUCAUAGUGUAGGGGUGAAAUCCGUUGAUAUUAUGGGGAACACCAAAAGCGAAGGCAAUUCACUGGCGCGCUCCUGACGCUGAAACACGAAAGCGUGGGUAGCGAAUGGG